CUAAAAAGGGGAUCAUGCUAAUUCUGCAAGAUCAACAAUUAGCACCAACAUUAACAAAAAAAAAAAACUGGCAUUAGAAACAAAUUAACUAAAAAUUAAACCACUAGUUAAUGGGGUGAUUAGGGAGAUUAUGGCCAUGGGUGAGUACGUUGGAUUCAAGGGUGUGAAUGAAGAGCAGAAAAUGCUUGGGCCUUUCCAAAUGCACGCCCUAGAUCCUGCACUGUACCAGAGCCAAGGAAAUAGAGACGAAAACAUGAUCGAUGCAACUAUGGAUCGGAGCUAUGGUCCAAAAAUCUCUUCCUCCCCAUCCGAAAUCUAUGGUCGAAACAGAGAAAGUACUCUCGUGAUGCAAGAGUUCCGAUUCCACACUCUUCUAUGUGAAGCGCUCCCAAAUCCCACUCGGCGAUGUUCAAACGCGGUGUAAGAAUUCGACCGCUCCAAACGCAUGAUCCAGAUUCCAUCUUGGAUAAAAAAGAUCUCAACACGCGGAAAAGCCUCCAAGGAUGUUCGUUUAGGGUCUCACAUGGAUUUCGACCAUGUCCUGGCACAACAGAUUGGCCACGCGAGUUGCUGCUGUGUUCGUCUCGAACGCGAUUUACAAUCGAAUGACGGGAGCCGCCGCGAAUUCGUCUCCAACGCUCAAUCUCCUCACCGGAUCGGAGUCAACAUGAAUACAACACUCGUAAUCGAAGUUUUCGCGCACAUAAUAGAAACAGAUGAGGGACGAAGAACCUACCGGGUUUGUUGAAGAUUCCAGGUUUGGAGAGAAGGGAGCAGUUAAAGGAAUUUUGGAGUUGGUUGACGUUCUAUUUUACGGAUCGAAUGGAGGGUCUCAGGGUUGAGGUUGAAGAAGAGGGUCGGCUGAAGAUGUUUGAUGAGGAGUGGUUUGAAGAUGGAGAAUCAAUUGUGAAGUUGCAGGGUUGAGGGAAAGUUCCUCCUUGAGGAGGGUGGUGAAAGGCGGUUUUUGAAGAUGGAGUUGUUGAAAUGAGGUGAAGAAAAAAAUGUGGAGAGUGAUUCGGUUCAGCAUUUAUUGGUUGAUGGAACCCCUUACAGUCAGUUGCGGAAUUCUCUUCCUGUUGGUUCGAAAUUGGUUGAGGAUGGUUCUCAAUUCUGUUAGGGGAGGUUGGAGUUUGGUUUAUUCAGUUGGAGGCGGUUUGUUGAGAGGUUGGAAGUUAGUUGUGUGAAAACAGUUAGGGUGGUUAGGAUUGAAGGAUUCGGUUAUUCGGUUAGUGGUUCUGUUGAGAGUUGGUCAUAACUGUUAGGUUGGUUAGAGGUGAUUUCAACUCCCAUAAUUCUGUUACAGGUUGAAUUUCGGUUGGUGAGUUGGUGGUUUCAGUUAUAUGAGAUUAGAGAGAUUGUUAUUAUGGGUUGAAGUUUGUUGAGGGUUUCUUGAAAGAGUUGGUUGGCUCUAUUAUUUUGACAAUUGGUUAGGAAUUCUUAUGUGAUUGAAGUGGUGUAUUGGAGGAGCUCAGUUUUCGUAGCAGUUUCCGGUUCGGUUAUCAAUUGGAGGUUACCAAAAUUCUGCAUUUUUCUUCAGGACUUUUGGUUCUUGGCUUUGCGAUUCGUAACGGUUUUGAAUUUUGCCGCGUGCGUUUCGCAACUGGCGGUUAGAUUGAUGCACUUUUUGCUGCUUGUGACGGUGUUGCGGCUUUCCUUGUGCUUUGGAUUGAUUUGUGAAGCUGUACUUUAAUUUUCUGUUGUAGCUAGCUGCAUUUUAUUGUAUUGCCGUUUAUGCCGGCUUUGGAUUGUGAAGUUGUACUUUAAGUUGCAGCUUGAGUGCACUGCGUUUUUCACUUGUUGUAGCAACUUGGAUGUAGACGUGGUUUAUGCGGGCUUAUGCGUUUGUGUUCACGUGGUUUAUGCUUAGUUAUGGACUGUGUUGGCGCUUUGUUUGCAGUCUUUUUCAA